UAGGUAUUGGUGGCUCUGUCCUAAGCCCUCUGACUGCAACAAAGAGAGGAAGUUAGAACAGUGUGAGCUGCUAGAGACAUGUGUACGACCCUUUGCACAGGAAGGUAUGAGAGAGCUGAGGCCAUUGUGUGAAAAAAUCCAAAAAACUAUUCAGUUUUGAACAAAGACGGUAAGAGAGGAUGGAGCCCUGCUGUCAGACGUUGGCUGAUAAGGAGAAAUAACCAAAUUCUGACUCCUCUGAACACUCUACUGAGGUCAGCCGAAGCAAAUCCGUACUCCCACUUGGAGGCAUUGCACAAGGACUGAUUGCCACAGUGUAGACUGUACCAGGGACAGCACAACAGGGACAGAAUAAUAUAAACUCAUAUUCAUUUGCAUUAGCUUCCCUGACCUGGGGAUUGUGGGGAAUUUUUUGCCUUAGCUUUCUCUCAUUUUGGGACCAACUUCUUCCAGCUGGAUAAAUACUGGUGGAUAAAACCUCUAUUGCCUCAGCAUGGGCACUGAGAAGCCAAAGCAGUGAUGGUAAAACCAGAAGUGAGCCUGGCAUGUGCUGAAUGCCCAUGUCAUCCAUGGACUCCAAGCUCCUCUGCAGUCAAGCAGCUAUGAAUUACACAGCUGAAAUUUACAUUGUGUGUGAGUGCUGAGCUCUGUCAGAUGUGUUGUGGUCACAGUGUGUGACACACAUGCCGAUAUGGCACCCUACUCUCUGGUAUCUUUUUUUCCCUGCUGCAGUCUUAUUCCUGCAUAAAAAUCAUUUGCUGUCUUGUACCUCAAAGCCCUUUUGAUGAGUUUAUGAAGGCCCAUUUCUGAAUGACUUUUCUGUUUGGUAU